AACGAACGCUGGCGGCAUGCCUAACACAUGCAAGUCGAACGAGACCUUCGGGUCUAGUGGCGCACGGGUGCGUAAAGCGUGGGAACCUGCCCUUAGGUUCGGAAUAACUCCCCGACAGGGGUGCUAAUACCGGAUAAUGUCUUCGGACCACAGAUUUAUCGCCUUUGGAUGGGCCCGCGUUGGAUUAGCCAGUUGGUAGGGUAAAAGCCUACCAAGGCGACGAUCCAUAGCUGGUCUGAGAGGAUGAGCAGCCACACUGGGACUGAGACACGGCCCAGACUCCUACGGGAGGCAGCAGUGGGUAAUAUUGGACAAUGGGCGAAAGCCUGAACCAGCAAUGCCGCGUGAGUGAUGAAGGCCUUAGGGAUGUAAAGCUCUUUUACCCGGGAUGAUAAUGACAGUACCGGGAGAAUAAGCUCCGGCUAACUCCGUG
rnacentral:rRNA from 1 species